GAAGAAGAGGAAACGUAUCAUCAACCGAGGAGAUUCUUCAAGUGACAAUGCUGAAAAAGAGGAUGAAGCAAAUUUGAGCCAGGACGUGAUGGUACUGCCCCUAAUUCUCCUGUUUCUGGCCCCAGCAACGUCUUUUAAGAUGGUAGAUUUGAGCAGAACAUCUGGUAUUGCGCCAAUCAAGAUACAGAAUUAUCAUAUCAUUAAAGAAACUUUUACCUUUGUUCAUAAUAUUAAUACUAGUUAUUUACGUUUAGAAUUAAGUAAUAUUGAAAAAUUUGUUGAUUUUCUCGCUAAAAGGAAUAAUAUUGAUAAGAGUCGCUUAAGUAUGAUGAAAUUGAAUUUGAAAUACACUAAGAAUAAAUUGAAUGAGAUUCAAUCAGUUAAUUAUAGGCAGAAAAGAGGUCUUUUUAAUGGUUUAGGAUCCGCGAUUUCGUGGAUCACUGGGAACAUGGAUGCUGAUGAUGAGGAAAGAUAUGACAACAUUUUGCAGACAGUCCAAUCUAAUAAAUAUCAUCUUAGUAACAAUGUAGACAAGCAAUUUGCUGUAAAUCAGAAAUUAAUUAACGAUUUCAAUAAUGAGAUGAAAGUAAUCAGAGCGAAUAAUCUAAAAAUCAGCAAUUACUUUUAUUCUUUGUUCAAUGAAUCCAACCGAAUGGAAAUGAAUCAGCAAUCCUCUUUGUUAUUCGACUCGCUCCUGCUUCUAUGAAACGUUUUUUCUAUUGUCUUAUCCUGUCAUUGUCGGUAACGAAAUUUUAACAACUAUUGCGCAUCCUUCUUUUGUUCUUCGAAAUGACAAAUUAUUUUCUGGAAAUUGUGAACUCAUUUAUGAUGAUUAUUAUUGUAGUGCAGUAAGCGAACUUAAUGAUAUAUGUAUUGAGCAAUUAUUAAAUGAUAGAAAUCUAGACGGAUGUAGUAAGGUAGUUUUGAAAGACAGAGAUUCUUUCAUAAAAUAUGUAGAAAUAGUUGAUAGUUUUAUAUUAUUUAAUUUUAGUACAUGUAUGGUUCUGAAUACUGAUUUGAACAAGAAUAUUACUCUUUUUCUUAAUAAGAAAACGCAAUUGUUGAAAAUUAAUAGCUCAGAAACACUGAUUGGUUACUACAAACCAAAUAUAUUUUGGGAAAACUAAAUUGUACUUCCAACUGAAUUUGUAGAAAACAAACGACUAUCCAACUUCAACUUUGAUCAAGUACAUACUGCUAAUAUAAAUUUUCAAAAACUUGAUGUUCUAGAUGAGCUACCUCUGACUGAUAAUCGAAACCUAUGUAUUAUUCUAUUGCUUAUUUUUACUGUAAUUUUAUUGAUUGUUAUAAUAUUUCUCAGACGGCUGCUUAUCUGGCACAAACUUUGUAACUUAAUCUGUUCUAAAUCUGAAGUUGAAAAUGAUAGUGUGCAGCGUGAACUAGAACAAAUAUGCCCCAGACUACCAUGUACUUAGUUUAUAAUAAUUUAAAUAUAUAUAUAUAUUUUUUUCUUUUUUUGAAGCUGAGGGCAGCUUCACUCUUAGUGGGGAGGAGUUACAUCUGGUAACACCUAAUAUUAUUGCUGACGCUGUAUUCCAUUGUAAUGCUCGAUCAUAGUACUUUUAGUCAGUCUACUGCCAAACUUCACCGAGAGCACUUCUCUCUUAUUCGCUAUAUAUUUUAUAAUUAUGUAUUUGUAAAUAAAGUUUUCUUUUUAAAAA
rnacentral:lncRNA from 1 species